rnacentral:tRNA from 1 species
AGUAUUCUGUCUUUCCAAGUCAGAGGGCCAUGUGUUUUGGCUAGCAUA